rnacentral:rRNA from 1 species
AUGAACGCUAGCUACAGGCUUAACACAUGCAAGUCGAGGGGCAGCAUGGUCUUAGCUUGCUAAGGCUGAUGGCGACCGGCGCACGGGUGAGUAACACGUAUCCAACCUGCCGUCUACUCUUGGCCAGCCUUCUGAAAGGAAGAUUAAUCCAGGAUGGGAUCAUGAGUUCACAUGUCCGCAUGAUUAAAGGUAUUUUCCGGUAGACGAUGGGGAUGCGUUCCAUUAGAUAGUAGGCGGGGUAACGGCCCACCUAGUCAACGAUGGAUAGGGGUUCUGAGAGGAAGGUCCCCCACAUUGGAACUGAGACACGGUCCAAACUCCUACGGGAGGCAGCAGUGAGGAAUAUUGGUCAAUGGGCGAUGGCCUGAACCAGCCAAGUAGCGUGAAGGAUGACUGCCCUAUGGGUUGUAAACUUCUUUUAUAAAGGAAUAAAGUCGGGUAUGCAUACCCGUUUGCAUGUACUUUAUGAAUAAGGAUCGGCUAACUCCGUGCCAGCAGCCGCGGUAAUACGGAGGAUCCGAGCGUUAUCCGGAUUUAUUGGGUUUAAAGGGAGCGUAGAUGGAUGUUUAAGUCAGUUGUGAAAGUUUGCGGCUCAACCGUAAAAUUGCAGUUGAUACUGGAUGUCUUGAGUGCAGUUGAGGCAGGCGGAAUUCGUGGUGUAGCGGUGAAAUGCUUAGAUAUCACGAAGAACUCCGAUUGCGAAGGCAGCCUGCUAAGCUGCAACUGACAUUGAGGCUCGAAAGUGUGGGUAUCAAACAGGAUUAGAUACCCUGGUAGUCCACACGGUAAACGAUGAAUACUCGCUGUUUGCGAUAUACGGCAAGCGGCCAAGCGAAAGCGUUAAGUAUUCCACCUGGGGAGUACGCCGGCAACGGUGAAACUCAAAGGAAUUGACGGGGGCCCGCACAAGCGGUGGAGCAUGUGGUUUAAUUCGAAGCAACGCGAAGAACCUUACCAGGCCUUGACAUCCCUUGCAGAGGUAUAGAGAUAUAUCCGAGGUUAUCAAGGAGACAGGUGGUGCAUGGUUGUCGUCAGCUCGUGUCGUGAGAUGUUGGGUUAAGUCCCGCAACGAGCGCAACCCUUACUGUUAGUUGCUACGCAAGAGCACUCUAGCAGGACUGCCGUUGACAAAACGGAGGAAGGUGGGGAUGACGUCAAAUCAGCACGGCCCUUACGUCCGGGGCUACACACGUGUUACAAUGGGGGGUACAGAGGGCCGCUACCACGCGAGUGGAUGCCAAUCCCUAAAACCCCUCUCAGUUCGGACUGGAGUCUGCAACCCGACUCCACGAAGCUGGAUUCGCUAGUAAUCGCGCAUCAGCCACGGCGCGGUGAAUACGUUCCCGGGCCUUGUACACACCGCCCGUCAAGCCAUGGGAGCCGGGGGUACCUGAAGUGCGUAACCGCGAGGAUCGCCCUAGGGUAAAACUGGUGACUGGGGCU